AGCAGCCGCGGUAAUUCCAGCUCCAAUAGCGUAUAUUAAAGUUGUUGCAGUUAAAAAGCUCGUAGUUGAAUUUCGGGGUUAGUAGGUUGGUCAUGCCUCUGGUAUGUACUGGUCUCACUGAUUCCUCCUUCCAGAUGAACCUUAAUGCCAUUAAUUUGGUGUUUUGGGGAAUUUAGACUGUUACUUUGAAAAAAUUAGAGUGUUUAAAGCAAGCUAACGCUUGAAUACAUUAGCAUGGAAUAAUGAAAUAGGACGUUCGAUCCUAUUUUGUUGGUUUCUAGGAUUGACGUAAUGAUUAAUAGGGAUAGUUGGGGGCAUUAGUGUUCAAUUGUCAGAGGUGAAAUUCUUGGAUUUAUUGAAGACUAACUACUGCGAAAGCAUUUGCCAAGGAUGUUUUCAUUAAUCAAGAACGAAAGUUAGGGGAUCGAAGACGAUCAGAUACCGUCGUAGUCUUAACCAUAAACUAUGCCGACUAGGGAUCGGAUGAUGUUAAUUUUUUAAUGACUCA
rnacentral:rRNA from 1 species